GCCAAGGAGAGUUUGAUCCUGGCUCAGGAUGAACGCUGGCGGCGUGCUUAACACAUGCAAGUCGGACGGGGUUAUAUGGAGCUAUUCAUGUAGUUUACUAUAGGGAUAAGGAAAUAUAACUUAGUGGCGGACGGGUGAGUAACGCGUGAGGACCUGUCCAUGGCAGGGGGACAACAGCUGGAAACGGCUGCUAAUACCGCGUAAGCGUGCUUUAGGGUACGUAAGAGGGUGAG
rnacentral:rRNA from 1 species